UCUUAAGAAUGAACAAAGAAAGCAGUUUCUUGAGAUGGAAUCUACUCCUGGUAAAGAUGCUGUGAA
rnacentral:pre_miRNA from 3 species